rnacentral:rRNA from 1 species
GCCGCCGUCAGGGAAAUCGAAGGCCCAACGGCGCAUGAGAGCAUCGCGCCUCCGA